rnacentral:rRNA from 1 species
GACGAACGCUGGCGGCGUGUCUAAUACAUGCAAGUCGAGCGAGCUUGCCUAGAUGAUUUUAGUGCUUGCACUAAAUGAAACUAGAUACAAGCGAGCGGCGGACGGGUGAGUAACACGUGGGUAACCUGCCCAAGAGACUGGGAUAACACCUGGAAACAGAUGCUAAUACCGGAUAACAACACUAGACGCAUGUCUAGAGUUUGAAAGAUGGUUCUGCUAUCACUCUUGGAUGGACCUGCGGUGCAUUAGCUAGUUGGUAAGGUAACGGCUUACCAAGGCAAUGAUGCAUAGCCGAGUUGAGAGACUGAUCGGCCACAUUGGGACUGAGACACGGCCCAAACUCCUACGGGAGGCAGCAGUAGGGAAUCUUCCACAAUGGACGAAAGUCUGAUGGAGCAACGCCGCGUGAGUGAAGAAGGGUUUCGGCUCGUAAAGCUCUGUUGGUAGUGAAGAAAGAUAGAGGUAGUAACUGGCCUUUAUUUGACGGUAAUUACUUAGAAAGUCACGGCUAACUACGUGCCAGCAGCCGCGGUAAUACGUAGGUGGCAAGCGUUGUCCGGAUUUAUUGGGCGUAAAGCGAGUGCAGGCGGUUCAAUAAGUCUGAUGUGAAAGCCUUCGGCUCAACCGGAGAAUUGCAUCAGAAACUGUUGAACUUGAGUGCAGAAGAGGAGAGUGGAACUCCAUGUGUAGCGGUGGAAUGCGUAGAUAUAUGGAAGAACACCAGUGGCGAAGGCGGCUCUCUGGUCUGCAACUGACGCUGAGGCUCGAAAG